GUAAGGAAUAUUGGUCAAUGGACGCAAGUCUGAACCAGCCAUGCCGCGUGGAGGAUGAAGGUCCUCUGGAUUGUAAACUUCUUUUAUCUGGGAAGAAAUGCAUUUUUUCUAAAGUGUUUGACGGUACCAGAUGAAUAAGCACCGGCUAACUCCGUGCCAGCAGCCGCGGUAAUACGGAGGGUGCAAGCGUUAUCCGGAUUCACUGGGUUUAAAGGGUGCGUAGGUGGGCAGUUAAGUCAGUGGUGAAAUCUCCGGGCUUAACCCGGAAACUGCCAUUGAUACUAUCUGUCUUGAAUGUCGUGGAGGUAAGCGGAAUAUGUCAUGUAGCGGUGAAAUGCUUAGAUAUGACAUAGAACACCAAUUGCGAAGGCAGCUUACUACACGGAUAUUGACACUGAGGCACGAAAGCGUGGGGAUCAA
rnacentral:rRNA from 1 species